rnacentral:tRNA from 1 species
GAUGUUGUGCCUGAUUAAAGGGUCAUCUUGAUAGGAUGGAUCAUGUUUUACUAAUACCAACAUUA